rnacentral:miRNA from 1 species
AGAGUCUUGACAUGUUCCAACG